UUCAGGUGUCAUAUGGUGAAAUGGUAGGGUGUGAUAAUCAAGAUUGCCCCAUUGAGUGGUUCCAUUAUGGAUGUGUUGGACUGACAGAAGCUCCAAAAGGAAAAUGGUACUGUCCACAAUGCACAGCAGCCAUGAAAAGGCGUGGCAGUCGCCACAAAUGAACCCCAAAAGCAGAGGAAUUAGUUUGACUGGUGCUUUGUCCAAACAUCCUAACUUUAAAUAGAACAUCGAAUGAAAGCAACAUCAACUGCAAUAAGUGACAUUUUGCAGUGCACUUAUUUAUGUUCCUAUUUGAGAAUGUAAGGCUUAUUGAUGAAACUUGGAUUUUGCAUUUUUUUUUGUGUAAAACACCAGAUGACUAUCUAUCUUUAUUCAAAUAUUCUCAUAAUAAACGAUCUAACUGAAGCAAAAAAAUACCAAAUAUAUAAUCAAUAUUUGUUUAAAGAUGCUUUACUUUUGUGUUUAAUUAUUACUUCUGUGAAACUUAAAAGUUCAGCUGGCUGAAGUAAAAUGCAAUAUUGGCAAUAAAUCUUGUAGAGCUGGCAAAGGUAGUGUCCUAAUACAUGAACAACAUUUCUAUAUCAUUUGAAUGCCAGUUUGCCAUUAGUGUUCAAUGUUUUGGUGCAGCACGUUUGAUAUAAAUGAUAUAAGAAUAAAGUUAUCAGUAUGUCUUUGAUACUAAUUGAAAAACAUUAUGACUUGUGUAUGUGGAAAAUGCGUUUUUUUUUUCAUUUGUAUUAGAUAUGACAUUAGUGUUUAACCAGUAAAAGUCUUAUGAUCGGUGAAGUGUGAUUUCAUUAUUUUUGUGCCUGAAAUGCAGUUUGGACUACAGUUGCAGUUUAAUCCAACUGUUUACUGGUGUAAACCUUUUUGUUUUUGCUUAUGCAUCUCUAUUGUAAAGUAAUUGUGCAGAGGAAAAAUUGCAGCCUGCACAACAGUGACUGGACCUCAAAAAUAUUUAAUUAACUAUAAAGUGCUCUGGGAUGUCCUAAGGUCAUGUAUGAUAUUAUACAAAUAUAAGUCUUUUUUAUA